rnacentral:tmRNA from 2 species
GGGGCUGAUCGGUUUCGACGGUGGUCGUGCUUCCAGGGGAAGCGGGCCGAGGAUGCAGUGCUCAUCUCGUUAACGCUUGCCUGCAAACCUAUAGGUGCCGAUAACAAGCGCACCGACUUCGCCCUCGCCGCCUGAGCGAGCUCCGAAGUCCGUGAGCCCGGGAGCGCUCUCGACCCGGUAGCUCACGUCAUCUAGAGAGCCACUGCUCGUCGCCCUCGUCAUCGGGGCGACGGGGACUUCCAGAUGACUGGGCCCGUCCGCACCUUGUCUGCGUGAGUGCGGGGGCCGAGAAAAUCGCAGCAGACUGCGCCCGGAGAAGCCCUGGAAAAGCGCUACCGGACCCGGGUUCGAUUCCCGGCAGCUCCACUC